rnacentral:tRNA from 1 species
UAUAUUCUAGUGUAUUAGGCACGUUAGAUUUUGAUUCUUAAAGUAAUAGGCCCUCCCUGUUGGAUAUAA